rnacentral:rRNA from 1 species
GACGAACGCUGGCGGCGUGCCUAAUACAUGCAAGUAGAACGCUGAAGGAGGAGCUUGCUUCUCUGGAUGAGUUGCGAACGGGUGAGUAACGCGUAGGUAACCUGCCUGGUAGCGGGGGAUAACUAUUGGAAACGAUAGCUAAUACCGCAUAAUAGUAGAUGUUGCAUGACAUUUGCUUAAAAGGUGCAAUUGCAUCACUACCAGAUGGACCUGCGUUGUAUUAGCUAGUUGGUGAGGUAACGGCUCACCAAGGCGACGAUACAUAGCCGACCCGAGAGGGUGAUCGGCCAAGCUUGGACUGGGACACGGCCCAGACUCCUACGGGAGGCAGCCGUAGGGAAUCUUCGGCAAUGGGCGGAAGUCUGACCGAGCAACGCCGCGUGAGUGAAGAAGGUUUUCGGAUCGUAAAGCUCUGUUGUAAGGGAAGAACGAGUGUGAGAGUGGAAAGUUCACACUGUGACGGUAUCUUACCAGAAAGGGACGGCUAACUACGUG